rnacentral:misc_RNA from 1 species
AAAAGCUCGUGUGACAUCAAUGUCGAAUAUUUCCCAUUCGAUGAACAAGAAUGUGAAAUGAAGUUUGGGUCUUGGACUUUUGAAGCCGACCAGCUGAAUUUCACCUACUAUAAGUUUUAUGGUCUGGACAUGACGGACUAUUUGAAGAGCGGAACAUGGGACAUCGUGGAUUGUCCGGCAAGGAUCGUCAUCUGUACGGACCCGGAAACGAAGCGCCGAAUCAGCAUGUACAUCGCCAAGUUCAUCAUCCGGAGAAAAACUCUCUUCUACACAGUUAAUCUGAUUAUCCCCUGUAUGUUGAUUUCCUUUGUCAGCAUCUGUGUCUUUAUGCUGCCCGCUGACGCCGGCGAAAAAAUCACUCUGAUUAUUUCAAUUCUAUUAGCGCUCGUCGUGUUUUUGCUUUUGAUUUCUAAAUUGUUGCCGCCUUCAAAGACGAUACCACUGAUUGCUAAAUAUCUCUUGUUUACUUUCAUUAUGAACAUCAUUGCCAUUGGUUCCACUGUGUUCAUUAUAAACCGGAACUACCGUACUCCUCGAACACACCGAAUGCCUGAGUGGGUUCGAAUAGUCUUCUUGAAAUACUUGCCAAAAUUUCUGUUCAUGACUCGACCUAACCAUGAUGAAAGAUGGAAGAGUCCUUUGAAAGUUCACUCGGAAGAAAAUCUAGACCAUGAUAUAAAGAGACAUGCUAAUCAUGAUAUGAGUAACACACGUUCCAGGAACUGCCGGUUACACAACGUGCCAGAGGCGACGGAAGUUGGUUACACUCCCAUGAGCCCCGAGUUGAUAGAAGCAACAGAAGCCAUUGGUUUUAUAACUGAACAUUUAAAAUGGGAGGACCGAUAUGGUUCGGUGACCGACGAUUGGAAGUACAUGGCGAGCGUGGUGGACCGAAUGUUACUGUACAUAUUUCUUAUCGUCACCGUCUGUGGUACGAUUGGAAUACUAGUGCAGGCCCCUUAUAUCCUAGAAAACAUCGAUCAGGACGAACUGAUCGGAAAAAUCAUGGACAAAUACAAAGUCAGCCAAGAAGGCAACAUUGCCCCUGAUACUAUAUAUCAAAAUGCACCCUGUUAAUGUUUUAACAAUGUUUUUCAUUCAAACUGAGAAUAAACUGUGAAUCUGUAUGAAUAAAUGUAUUUAGCUGCU